rnacentral:rRNA from 1 species
UACGUAGGGUGCAAGCGUUGUCCGGAAUCAUUGGGCGUAAAGCGCGUGUAGGCGGUCCGGUAAGUCCGCUGUGAAAGUCGGGGGCUCAACCCCUCGAAAGCCGGUGGAAACUGUCGGGCUAGAGUACGGAAGAGGCGAGUGGAAUUCCCGGUGUAGCGGUGAAAUGCGCAGAUAUCGGGAGGAACACCAAUGGCGAAGGCAGCUCGCUGGGACGGUACUGACGCUGAGGCGCGAAAGCGUGGGGAGCAAACAGG